AGCAGCCGCGGUAAUUCCAGCCUCAAUAGCGUAUAUUAAAGUUGUUGCAGUUAAAAGCUCGUAGUUGAAUUUCGGGAUCAAUAUAUCGGUCGUGCCUUGGUACGUACUGGUAUCAUUGGUUUCUCCUUUCUGACGAACCAUGAUGCCAUUAAUUUGGUGUUAUGGGAAGUUAGGACUGUUACUUUGAAAAAAUUAGAGUGUUUAAAGCAGGCUUUAGCUUGAAUACAUUAGCAUGGAAUAAUGAAAUAGGACGUUCGAACCUAUUUUGUUGGUUUCUAGGAUCAACGUAAUGAUUAAUAGGGAUAGUUGGGGGCAUUAGUAUUCAAUUGUCAGAGGUGAAAUUCUUGGAUUUAUUGAAGACUAACUACUGCGAAAGCAUUUUGCCAAGGAUGUUUUCAUUAAUCAAGAACGAAAGUUAGGGGAUCGAAGACGAUCAGAUACCGUCGUAGUCUUAACCAUAAACUAUGCCGACUAGGGAUCGGAUGAUGUUAAUUUUUUAAUGACUCAUUCGGCGCCUUAC
rnacentral:rRNA from 1 species